AGUGACCUUCCUUGUUCCUCAGCUAUAAAAACAUCACACCAGGCUGUCAGUGGAGUUCACAGCACAUCACUUUCAACAUGUUCUCUGUAGCUCUGCUGCUGCUGUUGGCAGCUGGAUGUGUGAAGUGUGAACAGUUGACACAGCCGGCCUCUGUGACUGUGCAGCCAGGUCAACGUCUGACCAUCAGCUGUCAGGUCUCUUAUGCUCUGAGCAGCUACUACACAGCUUGGAUCAGACAGCCUGCAGGGAAAGGACUGGAGUGGAUUGGAUUGAAAUACACUGGAGCUUCAUUCUACAAAGAUUCACUGAAGAACAAGUUCAGUAUCGACUUGGAUACUUCCAGCAAGACAGUGACUCUAAACGGACAGAAUGUGCAGCCUGAAGACUCUGCUGUGUAUUACUGUGCCAGAGACACACAGUGACACACACCAUCAGUAGAGCUGAACAAAAACCCCUCAGUGCCUGAACACUUGUAACAUGAAGCCACCAGAGGAGGAGCCCUCAGACCACUAAUGACUCCAACACCAGCUCACUGUAACUUCAGAGUUUUUAAUGGAAGGACUGUUUCCCUGUUUACUGUAACAAUCACUGAUAUAUAAUUAUAUGUAUGUAUAACCUUUCACCCUUUGAAGGGAUGGAAUACACUCAGCAAACAUCCUGGUUUUUAGAAGCCAGUGAUAUAUGUAGAGUAGAAACGAACCCUCAAAAAGUUAUUUUUAGGUAAGAAGAAAUACAUCUGAAUGGUAAAGGCAUUAGUAACUGAAUCAGUGGUGUUCAUGAGUCAAACUACAGAACAGUUUGUUUUCAUUUACAAUCUAAAGUGUGUUUGUCAGAGAUUCAAGUUACACCUUCUCUUUGUGUGAAUAAAGAACCACAACUGAACUUUUCAUCUUGAUUUUAAAUGAUUUAAAUAAACCUGUCAGCUGAUUUACCAUCAAUCAGUAUGUAAA